rnacentral:rRNA from 1 species
GCAUUAAGCACUCCGCCUGGGGAGUACGACCGCAAGGUUGAAACUCAAAGGAAUUGACGGGGGCCCGCACAAGCGGUGGAGCAUGUGGUUUAAUUCGAAGCAACGCGAAGAACCUUACCAGGUCUUGACAUCCUUUGACCACUCUGGAGACAGAGCUUUCCCUUCGGGGACAAAGUGACAGGUGGUGCAUGGUUGUCGUCAGCUCGUGUCGUGAGAUGUUGGGUUAAGUCCCGCAACGAGCGCAACCCUUGAUUUUAGUUGCCAGCAUUUAGUUGGGCACUCUAAAGUGACUGCCGGUGCAAGCCGGAGGAAGGUGGGGAUGACGUCAAAUCAUCAUGCCCCUUAUGACCUGGGCUACACACGUGCUACAAUGGAUAGUACAAAGGGUCGCGAAGCCGCGAGGUGGAGCUAAUCCCAUAAAACUAUUCUCAGUUCGGAUUGUAGGCUGCAACUCGCCUACAUGAAGCCGGAAUCGCUAGUAAUCGUGGAUCAGCAUGCCACGGUGAAUACGUUCCCGGGCCUUGUACACACCGCCCGUCACACCACGAGAGUUUGUAACACCCGAAGUCGGUAGGGUAACCUUUAUGGAGCCAGCCGCCGAAGGUGGGACAGAUAAUUGGGGUGAAGUCGUAACAAGGUAGCCGUAUCGGAAGGUGCGGCUGGAUCACCUCCUUU